UUASAUACCCUGGUAGUCCACGCCCUAAACGAUGGAUGCUAGWUGUUGGAGGGCUUARYCUCUCCAGUAAUGCAGCUAACGCAUUAAGCAUCCCGCCUGGGGAGWACGGUCGCAAGAUUAAAACUCAAAGGAAUAGACGGGGACCCGCACAAGCGGUGKAGCAUGUGGUUUAAUUCGAGGAUACACGAAGAACCUUACCUAGGCUUGACAUUGAGAGAAUCCGCUAGAAAUAGUGGAGUGUCUAGCUUGCUAGACCUUGAAAACAGGUGCUGCACGGMUGYCGUCAGYUCGUGUCGUGAGAUGUUGGGUUAAGUCCCGCAMCGAGCGCAMCCCCCUUUCUUAKUUGCUAACAGGUCWUGCUGAGAACUCUAAGGAUAUGCCUCCGUAAGGAGGAGGAAGGUGGGGACGACGUCAAGUCAUCAUGGCCCUUACGCCUAGGGCUACACACGUGCUACAAUGGGGUGCACAAAGAGAAGCAAUACUGCGAAGUGGAGCCA
rnacentral:rRNA from 1 species